UGGCACACUGGUUAGAGUGCUUGGCUGCUAACCAAAAGGCUGGUGGUUUGAACCCAUC
rnacentral:tRNA from 1 species